CUGAGCUCCCAGUCCUCUAGUCUGACAGAGUUGGACCUGGGUAACAACAACCUGCAGGAUUCAGGACUGAAGCUUCUAUUUUCUGCAGUGGAAAGUCCAAAGUGUACACUUGGAAUUCUCAGGGUGGAGCCUGCUGGAGUCCGAUGGUUGAGACCAGGUCUGAGGAAGUAUUCCUGUCAACUC